CAGCGAGACCCGCUGAGCUCAUGUCUGAGGAGGUGGUGCGACAGACGCGCAGUCAGAAGCGUGCGCUAGAGAAGGACUCUCCCCCUGCGGACAGCAAGCGACUGAAGCGUGAUGAAGAAGACGACCUGAUGAAGGCCUCCGUCAAACUGGAGCUCCAGGCGGGAGACGAGGCCGUGGGCCGUGGGAACACUGCGAUGAGGAGUGCGCGGUCCCCCUCUCCUGAUGAUGUCAUCGUGGUGUCCGACGAGGAUCCCAGUCCGCGGGCCGCUGGGAGCCGCUGCAGAGAACUGGUCCCGGAUCAGCUGAUGAGGAGUUCUGCAGAGGAGCGCGAGUGUGUCAUUAAUCAGCUUAAGGAGGAGCUUCGCUUAGAAGAGGCCAAACUCAUCCUGCUGAAGAAGAUCAGACACAGUCAAACACACACCGACUCCAGCGGACAGAAGGUACACACACACACACACACAC